rnacentral:rRNA from 1 species
GAGCGAAUGGAUUAAGAGCUUGCUCUUAUGAAGUUAGCGGCGGACGGGUGAGUAACACGUGGGUAACCUACCCAUAAGACUGGGAUAACUCCGGGAAACCGGGGCUAAUACCGGAUAAUAUUUUGAACUGCAUAGUUCGAAAUUGAAAGGCGGCUUCGGCUGUCACUUAUGGAUGGACCCGCGUCGCAUUAGCUAGUUGGUGAGGUAACGGCUCACCAAGGCAACGAUGCGUAGCCGACCUGAGAGGGUGAUCGGCCACACUGGGACUGAGACACGGCCCAGACUCCUACGGGAGGCAGCAGUAGGGAAUCUUCCGCAAUGGACGAAAGUCUGACGGAGCAACGCCGCGUGAGUGAUGAAGGCUUUCGGGUCGUAAAACUCUGUUGUUAGGGAAGAACAAGUGCUAGUUGAAUAAGCUGGCACCUUGACGGUACCUAACCAGAAAGCCACGGCUAACUACGUGCCAGCAGCCGCGGUAAUACGUAGGUGGCAAGCGUUAUCCGGAAUUAUUGGGCGUAAAGCGCGCGCAGGUGGUUUCUUAAGUCUGAUGUGAAAGCCCACGGCUCAACCGUGGAGGGUCAUUGGAAACUGGGAGACUUGAGUGCAGAAGAGGAAAGUGGAAUUCCAUGUGUAGCGGUGAAAUGCGUAGAGAUAUGGAGGAACACCAGUGGCG